UACGAAGGGGGCUAGCGUUGUUCGGAUUUACUGGGCGUAAAGCGCACGUAGGCGGAUCGAUCAGUCAGGGGUGAAAUCCCAGAGCUCAACUCUGGAACUGCCUUUGAUACUGUCGAUCUGGAGUAUGGAAGAGGUGAGUGGAAUUCCGAGUGUAGAGGUGAAAUUCGUAGAUAUUCGGAGGAACACCAGUGGCGAAGGCGGCUCACUGGUCCAUUACUGACGCCGAGGUGCGAAAGCGUGGGGAGCAAACAGG
rnacentral:rRNA from 1 species